CCUUUGUCCAGAGUCCUUUCUCAGAGGUAUGCAUGAGUGCACCAAAAACGAAUCGCCGGGAGAAAGAAAAGUAAAAGCUGACUUCCUGCGACCUCCCGCCUGCUGGGGCGGAAGAUGGAGGGGCGGGGGUCCUUCCUCUGACUCUUCAGCUUCCGAAGCAGACUCAGUGGCCUCGUCGUUGUAGAAGUGAAUGGUGGCUUGCACGGGGAAACUGGCCAGCACUUUCAUCCCGGAGCUCUGCAGGAAUUCUUGACGCUUCGACAUGGAGUUUUGCUCUCCCAGGCUGUACUACAAUGGCACAAUCUCAGCUCACUGCAACCUCCACCUCCUGGGUUCAAGUGAUUCUCCUGCCUCAGCCUCCCAAGCAGCUGGGAUUACAUGUGAAGUCAGGAGUUCAGUGUUUUCCAGGAAACUACCUCCCUGGCAAUGCCCGAAAAUGACAAGGAUGGAAACACAACAGACACCAAGAAAGGUUGGAAUGCAGUGUCCCAAUCUCAGCUCACUGCAACCUCUGCCUCCUGGGUUCAAGCGAUCCUCCGGUCUCAGCCUCCCAAGUAGCUAGGAUUACUGGCACGCGCCACACCGCCCGGCUAACGUUUGUAUUUUUAGUAGAGACAGGAUUUCACCAUGUUAGUCAGGCUGACAUUGAACUCCUGACCUCGGAUGAUCUCCCUUUCCCCACCUCGGCCUCCCAAAAUUCUGGGAUUACAGGCGUGAGCCACGCGCCUGGCCUACUUGAGGUUUUAUUCUAGUUUUGCUCUGCUUGCCGGGAGCCCUGGUACGGGUCACCAGGCCUUAGCCCUCCUCACCCCCACUGCAGCCAAUGGCAUUUUUGAGAAAUACAGAAUGGGGCUUGGGAACUGGGGAAUUCUCCUGCUUGUCGGGGGAGGGCGCUGUUGAGCAAGAAGCGUUCCUUCCCCAUGCUGGGCUGCGCUAUCGCUGGGCUGCCGGGGAUCGAGCGCGAUGCAGGGUACCAGAGCACCGACUAAGCGCUGGCCGCUCUGCGCGACAAGCUGGACCCAGCAAAGAGCAGGUCCCGGGCUGGGGGUGGGGCGUGGCGGGCUCUUCAGCCCCCAGGGAACACCCACUCUCCCCACACCCACAUCCAUGGACAGAACUACUUCAGCGUGACAGCCUACCAAUCAGUAAGAAAGUUACUAAAGUUUAACGUUUUUCUGCAAGUACAUUUUUCUCACAAACGGACUUAUCAUAACAGAAAACAAAACCAAAAACCAUCUGUCUUACUGAGGAAGCGUGCUAUCGCAUUUUGAUUCUUGCAAACGACUGAUAGGCUCCACAUCCAUUUCACUGAAAAGAACACUGGGUAAUUGUGAACAUCUAUAUUUUCACACAAGCACCUUUACAUUUUAUGUUUAAGAACUAAGUGUGAAUGCGAAACAAGGGAUUAUUUUUUUUCUUUUUCCCCGAACCACAUGGAAUGGAAAUAAGGGAUUAUUUUAAUUAUUUAGAUAUUAUAUGUAUAAAAAAAUGGGGACUGAAAAUCAUACUUUUUUAAACUAAUUUAUAUUUUUAUCUGCUUCCUUCUUUGAAGUAAAUUAAAAUUCCUAAUAUUCAGAUUAAUUUAAUGAAGUCGUCUAAAUAUCAAAAUGUGGUGAAGGCCUGUUUUCCCACACUCGAGUUUUCUUACCAUAUUACAAGUAACAGGCGUUAUGUAAAUUAAAUACAUCGCCUUUCCCAGCCUAAUUCUUCAGUGUUUCAAGAGUCAUCAAGAAAAUAAAUAAAAUAAAAGUCAUCAAUUUAUGUUUUAAAAUAUAACAAAGGAAAGGUAAAUUCUAUGAAAG